UCAUCCGAAUUUCCGAUGUUUC
rnacentral:siRNA from 1 species